CACGCCCUAAACUAUGAUGACUAGGUGUUGGUCCUUCGGGAUCAGUGCCGUAGCUAACGCGUUAAGUCAUCCGCCUGAGUAGUACGACCGCAAGGUUAAAACUCAAAUGAAUAGACGGGGGCCCACACAAGCAGUGGAUCAUGCGGUUUAAUUCGAUACUGAACGAGGAACCUUACCCAGACUUGAUAUCUACGAAAGUCCGCAGAAAUGUAGACGUGCCCUCACGGGAAUCGUAAGACAGGUGC
rnacentral:rRNA from 1 species